CCUACGGGUGGCACCAGUGGGGAAUAUUGCACAAUGGGCGCAAGCCUGAUGCAGCCAUGCCGCGUGUAUGAAGAGGGCCUUCGGGUUGUAAAGUACUUUCAGCGGGGAGGAAGGCGGUGAGGUUAAUAACCUCAUCGAUUGACGUUACCCGCAGAAGAAGCACCGGCUAACUCCGUGCCAGCAGCCGCGGUAAUACGGAGGGUGCAAGCGUUAAUCGGAAUUACUGGGCGUAAAGCGCACGCAGGCGGUCUGUCAAGUCGGAUGUGAAAUCCCCGGGCUCAACCUGGGGACUGCAUUCGAAACUGGCAGGCUAGAGUCUUGUAGAGGGGGGUAGAAUUCCAGGUGUAGCGGUGAAAUGCGUAGAGAUCUGGAGGAAUACCGGUGGCGAAGGCGGCCCCCUGGACAAAGACCGACGCUCAGGUGCGAAAGCGUGGGGAGCAAACAGGAUUAGAUACUCGUGUAGUC
rnacentral:rRNA from 1 species